rnacentral:rRNA from 1 species
GGUGAACGCUGGCGGCGUGCCUAACACAUGCAAGUCGAGCGGUGCAGUUUGAAGCUUCGGUGGAAAGCUGCAUAGCGGCGGACGGGUGAGGAAAACGUAGGAACGUGCCCCUUGGAGUUGGAUAGCCACGGGAAACUGUGGGUAAACCGACAUAGACUCGAGAGAGUAAAGGCCGAAAGGCGCCAAGGGAGCGGCCUGCGGCCCAUCAGGUAGUUGGUAGUGUAAAGGACUACCAAGCCGACGACGGGUAGCCGGUCUGAGAGGAUGGCCGGCCACAAGGGCACUGAGAGACGGGCCCUACUCCUACGGGAGGCAGCAGUGGGGGAUUUUGGACAAUGGGGAAACCCUGAUCCAGCCAUGCCGCGUGAAUGAUGAAGGCCUUCGGGUUGUAAAGUUCUUUUGGUGGGGACGAGUGAUGACGGUACCCACAGAAUAAGCUCCGGCUAACUUCGUGCCAGCAGCCGCGGUAAGAGUCACGUCG